CCGAGUUUAUCAACUCCCAAACCCCUGUGAACAUACCUGAACGUUGCUUCGGCGGGACCGCCCCGGCGCCCUCAGCGGCCCGGAACCAGGCGCCCGCCGGAGGACCCAAACUCUUGCUUUAAUUAGUGGCAUUCUCUGAGUCUCACAAACAAAAAAUAAAUCAAAACUUUCAACAACGGAUCUCUUGGCUCUGGCAUCGAUGAAGAACGCAGCGAAAUGCGAUAAGUAAUGUGAAUUGCAGAAUUCAGUGAAUCAUCGAAUCUUUGAACGCACAUUGCGCCCGCCAGUAUUCUGGCGGGCAUGCCUGUUCGAGCGUCAUUUCAACCCUCAAGCCCCCAGGGGCUUGGUGUUGGGGACCGGCCCGCCCCCGCGCGGCGCCGCCCCCGAAAUGCAGUGGCGACCUCGCCGCAGCCUCCCCUGCGUAGUAGCACAACCUCGCACCGGAGCGCGGAGACGGUCACGCCGUAAAACGCCCAACUUUUUACAGAGUUGACCUCGGAUCAGGUAGGAAUACCCGC
rnacentral:rRNA from 1 species